rnacentral:rRNA from 1 species
UAGGGAAUCUUCCACAAUGGGCGAAAGCCUGAUGGAGCAACGCCGCGUGUGUGAUGAAGGGUUUCGGCUCGUAAAACACUGUUGGUAGAGAAGAACGUUGGUGAGAGUGGAAAGCUCAUCAAGUGACGGUAACUACCCAGAAAGGGACGGCUAACUACGUACACGA